rnacentral:lncRNA from 1 species
AGCAAAGCUUGUCAUGUUCUUAUUUGAACUUUUUCAGAGAGAAUUCAAGAGAUUAGCAUGAGUACAUCAGAGAUGCCCUGACAGUUGACAGAGUGUUUUUGCUGUGGUUGUGUGUUUGGUAUUCAAAUAGAUCCCUUUUUGAUGAGUAAGAGAGAGCCCCACCCCUUUAAGAACAGGGCUAAACUCCUAUGUGCAUAUACUUAGUUGAGCAGGUUGCAAAGCAGCAAGUCGAUCUCCAACUUGCUCCCACUAAUAGCUGGAAUACUACAGACAAAUUGUAAACACACUACUUUCACAGCAGGGGUGUGCUAUUGCUGCUUUUACUUGCCAUAGGAGUUGGCACAAGUCACACACACACACACAGACACACACACACACAUAUACACCCACGCACGCACGCACACCCACGCACGCACACACACAGACAAACAGUUUCUUCUGCAGGUUUGAACUGCGAUCAAGAUGGGCAAUGAGCAUUCCAAAAACAAGGCUGAGCAGGCUCCAGAAAAGCCCCUGCAUGGAGGUUUGAAUGGCCAUGCUGUAAGCAUCUCAUCCAAUGGCCUGGAGAAUGUUACCAGUGAAGCAGCUGUGGAGCAGAACAGUAUGCCUACCUCACUGCCUCCCUCUGAAGAGUCAGGUAUAGUGGAGGCAGAUGGCAGUGGUCUUGGGCCUGUGGUGGUGGAACAGAAGUCUGCCGUCAAGAAGGUUCCAGAAGUGGAACCAGAGACACAGAAUGCUAAGACUCAAAACACAGCGGAACCGGAACUGGAACCAGCCACCCAAGAGAAGGAGGAGCCCAAGAACAGUACACAAGAAAAAGUGAACAUCUUUGAAAAUCUGUUCAAGAAGAAAGCUAAGCCUCAACCCACCCCCAACCCGGAUCCAGCCCUGGAAAAGGAGGAGCCCAUAAGGGAGAAGAUUGUGGAGGAGAUUGAAAGUUCUGCGGAAGAUCAGAAAGUCCCUGUGGCUGUGACCGAUGGGAUCCAAGCUGAGCCACUUGCUGAGGUAAAGGAGGAUACAGAGACUUCAAAGGAGCGUCCCAACCCUAGUCCAGAGGCAGAGGAGGUCAAAAGCCCCAAAAUUGCAGAGGAAAGCAGUCACAUUCAGGAAAACCAAGAGGGAGAGAGUCAAACAGAAGAUAAUCCAGUUAUGAACUUCUUCAAAACACUAGUGACUCCCAUAAAAAAAAACAAGCAAGAAACAGCCACCCCUGAUGUUGCAAAAGACCAGAAAGAGGCCCAACCAACAACAACUACUGCUGCACAACUAGUGGAUGCAACAGCCAAAGGAGGAAUGUUAAUCCCACCAGCUGCAGCCCCAGCCCCAGCCCCGGCCCCAGCCCCGGCCGCAGCCCCGGCCGCAGCCCCUGCCCCACCCGCAGCCGCAGCCCCAGCCCCAGCCCCACCUAAGAUGGAGGUUAAAGCAGAACUAGCUGCCCAACCUGUGACCAACGCACCAAAAGAAGAACCAAAGGGUGCUGCCAAAGAAGCAGAGGCCGCCAAGCCGAAAUCUGACCGCCCGUUCAGCAGACUUUUCAGCAGAAAGACAGUGGAACCAGUGGAGCCACAGCCGGUUGUGGAAGUACAGAAUGUAGACUUCUCAAAGACGGCCACUCUGGAGGCCUCUGCCACUCUAGAACCACCACCACCUGCACCAGAGGACGAGAAGACACCUGCUGCCUCCAAAGCCUCUCCUUUCACUUCCUUUUCUCUUUUCAAGACCAUGGCAGCUGUGCCGAAAAAGGAAGUCCCUGCCCCAGCUGCAGAAGCGGUAGCUGGCCCAAGUGUAGCCAAGGAUGAACCAAAGGCCCCAGAGGACCCUGCUGUGGACAGCAAGCCCGUGUCAGGGCCCUCCGAGGUUAUGGAGAAUUCCCCCGUCCUCCCUAAGAGACUGGAGAAGAGGAACUCCAUCCACUUGUUCUUCAAAAACCUGGGCAAACGCCAGUCAGAUGCAGGAGUACAAACAGAACCAGAGAAGACCAAAUAAAACGGAAACACCCUUUCAAACUUCACAUGCCAUAUCUGGAAAUGAACUUUUCAUUUGUUAGAUACAUUAUGUUUCUGAUCACACUAUUGAAGGGAUGAUGGUAAGAGCAAGUGGUUUGAGGGAGAGGGGUGGACUGUGGACUGGUCUGUUCUAGUCUAAUCUAAUCUGUGUGGAUGAUUUCAGAGAAUUGUUCUUUGUGGAGGAGGUAAAAUAUAUUUUCUGGUUUAAAGGCUUGAUAGGUAGAGAAAAGUGGUUUUGUUACAUGUACUGAGAGCAAAAUCCAUUUCUAUACAGUAUUUACCCUUCUUUUAACAUGUCACUUAUUCCACGGAGGGCUGAGUGUCUGCGGGUUUUUGCUCCUCCCUUGAUUGAUUAAUUAAGGUCACUAAUUAGUAAAGAACUCCCCUCACCUGGUUGUCUAAGUCUAAAAACAAAACACCCACAGACACUAAGCCCUUCAUGGAAUGUGUUUGACACCACUGCUUUAACAUAUUAAUAUGUGUAAGGAUCUAAUGCAAAUAUUACGUUUAGCAUAUUUUUUUCCCCUCUUCAUAUACACAUUUUACUAGUCUGAAAAGAACUUGUGGAGUGCAUACAAUGGUUUCAGAUACGUUCAUAGGACGUCUUGGAGAAGAGAUGCAUAAAGCUUAGCUUGAGAUAGAAAUUGAAUAUACUCAAAAUUUAAUGGAGGAGUUGGCGAAAUGGUUGAUAUUCCUGCCAAGAUGUUUUUAUUUAGGCUAGACACAUGCAAUUUACAAUGUAAGCUUUAAACUUUGCAGGAACUGUACACGGAUGCAAAUAUAUGCCAAACACUAAAUUACAAUUUAUGAUUAUAAUCAUACACAGGGGGCGCUCCCAAUCAUUACUUUUUUGGGGAACUACACAGAUCUGGUUGUCUAUAUAGCUAACUGCACAGUCAUGCAUCAUAUUUGAUUAAUGUUUCACUGAAGUAUAAAGGUUUGUUCUAAUUUGGGUGCACUGCUUUACGUGUGUGCCUGUUUGAAUGCAGAUGUUAUAAUCUUGGGGAUCUUGUCUGUUAAUUUCUGCAUCUAUAAUUUGAUAAACUGCAUCUGGAAGUAGAAUGUUUAUUGUGACAGCAAAUUCCAAAUCAUGAAAACCUGCAAUGGGGUAUUGGGGGGGGGGGGGAGUUCUACUGAGCUAACAUAUGGAAUUUUUUUAAGAUCAUACCAUGGAUCCUUUAGCUAUUUAAUUUUUCAUUUAGGUAAAAUAUUGAAUUUGGCUUUUAAUGCUAUAGCCUAUAGAAAUGCAAUGAAUAACACAUUCAUAAAUGGCAAAACGGAGAGUACAAAAAGAAAUAAUAUAUAACGUUUUUGAAGUGUCUGUCCUACAUCUAGGAGAUGUAAUAAUGUUCAGGAUUUACACAUAUUUAACCCAUUUUUUGGGGGUGUCACAAAACUACUUCUAUAUAUUUUUUAUUAUGUUAAUUAAAUUGACGCACGGGUGCGUUGAUGGACUUUAGGGGGUAUUUAAAGCUAUUUUCCUGUAACUGUUUAAAGAGAAUAAAUGUGUACAAUUAUUUGUUUUCUUGUUUUCUAUCUCACAAUUUAGGCCAAAAGUUAUCAGUAUAGGGAAAUAUGAAAACAUAUUUAGAGUGAAAUUAAAUGUCCCUGUAAUAUAGUGAUUUAAUGUUAUCAAACAGUACUAUCAAGUGCUGCAAUAACUGAAAAAGACAUGACCCAACAAGUUUAUCAACACAUCUUGUAUUCCCAAAGUAGGGAGCCAAGCUGUUUUCAGCUAUGUUAGAAGUAUGGAG